rnacentral:rRNA from 1 species
GCGAGUGAAGCGGCAAAAGCUCAAAUUUGAAAUCUGGCAUCUUCGAUGUCCGAGUUGUAAUUUGAAGAUUGAAGGUUCAUUGGGUCUUGUCUAUGUUCCUUGGAAUAGGACAUCACAGAGGGUGAGAAUCCCGUGCGAUGAGAUUCCGUAUUGUAACCUUCUUUCGACGAGUCGAGUUGUUUGGGAAUGCAGCUCUAAGUGGGUGGUAAAUUCCAUCUAAAGCUAAAUAUUGGCGAGAGACCGAUAGCGAACAAGUACAGUGAUGGAAAGAUGAAAAGAACUUUGAAAAGAGAGUGAAAAAGUACGUGAAAUUGUUGAAAGGGAAGGAUAUGAGAUCAGACUUGGUAUUUUGCAACCUUACCUUCGUGGUGGGGCCCCUGCAGUUUACUGGGCCAGCAUCAAUUUGGAUGAUGGGAUAAUGACUCAGGAAUGUAGCUCUACUUCGGUGGAGUGUUAUAGCCUGUGUUGAUACCGUCUAUCUAGAUUGAGGACUGCGUC